UGGCUCAGACAGUAAAGCAUCUGCCUGCAGUGCAGGAGACCCAGGUUCGAUCCCUGG
rnacentral:tRNA from 1 species